UAGGAACAUGCUCUUUAUGCUUUUGAUUGUUGCUCAGAAAGCCUUGACAACAAUAAUGGCUUUCGGGCAAUAAUCAUAAUCACGGAAGAGCAAAGAUUCAUCUUUAUCUAAU
rnacentral:pre_miRNA from 1 species